CCCUGUAUUUAAAAAACUCCCAUGGAGGCACUUCAGUGCAUGGGGGAUGCUGGUCAUCUUUAUUAUAAUUGCUUUGGGAAAUAUUCGCUUCAGUGGCUCUGUGGUCUGUGAGUUGACUUGCCCUCCCUGCCUCAAGCACCUGCAAAACUGAUAGCUUGAUUUCGAUGUUUGUAAUAUUGGGUGUCUUUUCUUUUGCAGGUGGUAACCUGUUGAUGUCAAAAUUCUUUUUCAGAGUUCAAAUUGACUCUAUGUAGGGGAAUGUGGAUCCUGGUAUUAUGUUAUUAUUUACGUUAUUUAUAAGGUAUUAACCAUCCUACUGUGUCUCAUACCAUAUGGCACUUAUAUACAUACAAAUAUCUCCCUCAACUUACAUGCCUUUGUGCUUCUUCUGCAUGAACAUCUUUUGUAGGCUGGACUCUUGUUUAGGUAUUAUACUGCUAUAUAUUCUACAAUAUUUGUAAUUCCUGAGCAUUUCAUGGAAGCUUUUUUUCCUGCUUAUACUUGCGUGUAAGUGACCUUGAUGAAAUGUGAUAGUGUCCUUCAACCUGGGCAUUUUUGUAUUAUAGGCUAGGCCCAUGGACUGCUGAAGCUUGUGAUUGAUAGGUAAGUAGAAUAAUAGGUGUGCAUUAAUAAUACUGAUUCUUCAGCCUAGUCAUUUUAUUUUACAGGGUUCCAUGUUUUGGGAAACACCUAGCCACUAUGGACUUUAGCCUGGAGGUUUCUUAUGGUAGGUAUGAAUUGAAAUACUUUUUCAUGUCAUUCUUCAGCCUGGGCAUCUUUGUUUUACAGGUUGUGAGGGAAACAGCAGAGUCAGGAAAUCUUGUACUGCUAAUGCUUGUGGUUGGUGAGUAGAAAAAUAGAUGAGCAUGGAUAGUGCUGAUUCUUCAACCUUUGAAUCUUUUUAUUUUACAGGUUUUCCUAUUUUGGAAAUCUGGACAUCUAGCCACUAUGGUACUUGAGCCUUGCAGUUUAUUUCAGAUCCUGUUUCUUGCGGUAGGUAUGGAUGAAUAAAUUCAGUUUGGCAUUGUAUUUCAGCAUGGGCAUCUUUGUUUUACAGGUUGGGACUUUUUGAGAGAAAGGUAACCAGCCACGUCAGGAAACCUUGUACUGUUGCAUCCUGUAAUUGAUUGGUAUGUAGAAGAAUAGGCAUGCAUGGGUUAUACUGGUUCUUCAACCAGGGUAUCUUUUUAUUUUACAGGUUUUCCUCUUUUGGGAAACAUCUAGCCACUAUGGUACUCCAGCCUGGCAGUUUGUGUUCCUGUUUCGUGUGGUAGGUAUGGAUGAACAAAUUCAAUCUGACAUUGUCUUUCUUCAGCAUGGGUAUUUUUGUUUUACAGGUUGGGACAUUGUGAGGGAGAGGCUAGCAGCAGAAUCAGGAAACCUUGUACUGCUAAAGCUUGUGAUUGGUGAGUGGAAAAAUGUGUAUGGAUAAUACUUAUUCUUCAACCUUGCAAUCUUUUUAUUUUACAAGUUUUUUUUUGUUUUGGGAAACAUCAAGCCACUAGAGAACUUCAGCCUGGCAGUUUAUUUGGAAUCCUAUUUCUUGCGGUAGGUAUGAAUUUAAAAAUUCUGUUUGGCAUUGUCAUUUUUUAGCACGGGCAUCUUUGUUUUACAGGUUGGGAAACUGAGGGAAAGGCAACCCUGGGAAACAUCUAGCCACUAUGUUACUUCAGCCUAGCAGUUUAUUUGGGAUCCUCUUUUUUUGCGGUACAAAUUCAAUUCCUCAUUUUUUGAACAAAUUCAAUUCGACAUUGUCAUUCUUUAGCAGGGGCAUCCAGUUUAACAGGUUGGGAUCCUGGGGCAAAGGCUAGACAUCAUGUUGGUUACAUUGGACUGCUGAAGCUUCUAAUAGAUAAGUGAGUAGAGGAAUAAAUGUGCACAGAUUAUACCAAUUCUUCAACCUGGGCAUCUGAUUUCCUGGUUGGGAAUUGUAUAGCCACUGGCAGUUUUAUUGGUAAGUAUGACUGGAAAUACUGUGAGUGUGAGUAGAAGAAUAGGCAUGCAUGGGUUCUAUUGGUUCUUUUAUUUUAUUUUACAGGUUUUCCUGUUGGGCUACAUCUAGACACUAUGGAACUUCAGCCUAGCAGUUUAUUUGGGAUCCUGUUGCUUGUGGUAGGUAUGGAUGAAAAAAUUCAAUGUUUCUCUUCAGCAUGGGCAUCUUUGUUUUGCAGGUUGGGACUUUUUGAGGGAAAGGUAACCAGCCACGUCAGGAAACUUUGUACUGUUGCAGCCUGUGAUUGAUUGGUGAGUAGAAGAAUAGGCAUGCAUGGGUUAUACUGGUUCUUCAACCAGGGUAUCUUUUUAUCUUACAGCUUUUCCUCUUUUGGGAAACAUCUAGCCACUAUGGUACUCCAGCCUGGCAGUUUGUGUUCCUGUUUCUUGUGGUAGGUAUGGAUGAACAAAUUCAAUCUGACAUUGUCUCUCUUUAGCAUGGGUAUUUUCAUUUUUCAGAUUGGGACAUUGUGAGGGAAGGCUAGCAGAAGGGUCAGGAAAACUUGUACUGCUAAAACGUGUGAUUAGUGAAUAGAAAAAUGUGUAUGGAUAAUACUUAUUCUUCAACCUGGGCAUCUUUUUAUUUUACAGGUUGUUUUUUUUUGUUUUGGGAAACAUCAAGCCACUAGAGAACUUCAGCCUGGCAGUUUAUUUGGAAUCCUAUUUCUUGUGGUAGGUAUGGAUGAACAAAUUCAAUGUUCAUGUCUCUUCAGCAUGGGCAUCUUUGUUUUGCAGGUUGGGACAUUGUAAGGGAGAGGCUAGCAGCAGAGUCAGGAAAUCUUGUACUGCUAACGCUUGUGAUUGGUUGGAAUUCUGUGUGGUAAUUGCUAGAAGCUAGCUCAGAUUACCUUGGUCUGCAUAAAUGUGCAGAGAUUAUACCAAUUCUUCAGCCUGGGAAUUUGUUUUCCUGUUUAGGAAUUGUCUAGCCACUGGCAGUUUAUUUGGGAACCUGUUUCUUGUGGUAGGUAUGAAUGAACAAAUUCUGUUUGACACUGUCAUUUUUCAGCAUGGUCAUAUUUGUUUUACAGGUUGGGACAUUGUUGGGAAGGCUAAAAGCAUAGGAAGGUAACCUUGGUCUGCUAAUGCUUGUAAUAGAUAGGUGAGUAAAGAGAAUUAAUGGCCACAGAUUAUACUGAUUCUUCAACCCAUGCAUUUGUUUCUUUUUACAGGUCUUCCUGGUUGGGAAUUGUCUAUCCACUGGCAGUUUUAGUGGGAACCUGUUUCUUGUGGUAGGUAUGGAUAAACAAAUUCGACUUCGAAUUAUUCAGCAUCGGCAUCUUUUCUUUACAGGUUGGGACAUUGUGAGGGAAGGCAACCAGCCACAUCAGGAAACCUUGUGCUGUUGAAACCCGUGAUUGAUUGGUAAGUAGAAUAGGCUAGCAUUGGUUAUUCUGGUUCUUUAACCUGGGUAUCUUUUUGUUUUACAGGUUUUCCUAUUUUGGGGAAACACCUAGCCACUAAGGAACACAGACGCCAGGCUGGAGUACCAGUUUCUUGUGGUAGGUAUGGAUGAACAAAUUAAAUUUGGCUUUGUCUCUCUUUAGCAUGUGCAUCUUUUUUUUACAGGUUGGGACACUGUGAGGGAAUGGAUAGCAUCGGAGUCAGGAAACCUUGUACUGCAAAAGCUUGUGAUUGGUUGGUACCUGGUUUGGAAAAAGGCUUAGCCCGGCAGCAAUUUAUGGUGAUUACUGGCCAAAUCAGCGCCCAAAGCAACUGUUUUUCUUGGCUGCAUCGAAACACAUCUCACGUGAAUGAGAAUCUGGACUUUUAUUUGGAGUUUCUAUAUUUGUAUUAGGAUUGUCAAAUGUUUGUAUUCACUAAACUUUCAAUUAAACUUUU